CUCAUUCGGAUUGGAGUCUGCAACUCGACUCCAUGAAGCUGGAUUCGCUAGUAAUCGCGCAUCAGCCAUGGCGCGGUGAAUACGUUCCCGGGCCUUGUACACACCGCCCGUCAAGCCAUGGGAGCCGGGGGUGCCUGAAGUACGUGACCGCGAGGAGCGUCCUAGGGCAAAACUGGUGACUGGGGCUAAGUCGUAACAAGGUACC
rnacentral:rRNA from 1 species